GUACAAGGGCUUAUUCAGAUCAUCAUCCAAUUCCUAUAUAUGAUCUAGAUGAAGCAAAUAUCCCUAGAGCUUCAAAUACUUCAGAACUGGGUGAAGUGCAUGCGCAUGUUCCUAUUCCUACUUCGAGGAUUACUAGAGCUACCACUUCAUCCUCAUUAUUGGAUAUGUCUUCAUGGCAGGAUGAUACAAUACUUCAUAAUGAGACGGAUACUGAUGAGAAUAAUUUAUAUAUGGAUAUUCAGCUAA